GGAGGCCCAAAGGUAUUAACUAACUUGCUGGGUCAUAUAAUUAUUUAGUGGGAACCUAGAUCUCUACUCCAGGUCUUCUGGCUGUUAAAGUCACUCUAUUCCCAGGACUUAUGACUUGCUUUAAAGAACAGACCAUUAUAUGUUGAGAUUAUAAUAUUAUGGCACUGGGUGUAAUAAAUCAAAUUACUGGAAGAUACUGAAACAUUUCUAGGAUCAAUGGCCACAUACCUGAAACAUUGUUAUCUGCUGUAGCAAAAAGAACUCAUCUGGCACAGCACUGAAAUUGGGACAACCUACAAUGAGUUUAGAGUGGUCCAUGCAGCGGCAGGCAGCUUGUUUCAGUUCUCAGUCAGAAGAUGCAUAAACUGGGGCACAGGGAGAUAAAAUUACCCAGGGUCAUACAGCUGAAUGUAAGCCUACACAAUACAUUAACCACAGUGUUUAAAAAGAACAUUUGUGAAAAAACCAAG